rnacentral:tRNA from 1 species
ACUUCGGUAGUAUAAGUAGUAUGUUGUCUUUCCAAGUCAAAGGUCUAAAAAUAUUUAGUCGAUGUA